UUACUUUGGACUCCCGAUGAACGCACGUGUCCACCACUAGUAUGAGAAACAAGCAAUAAGUAGUAGUACAACAGCAGAUAAUGACUAUAACCAGACUACCACCAAAUAAUAAUAUCCUCAAUCUACCCAAAACAACAGACAUCAUCAAAACUCCAACAACAAAAAACCACAAGCAUAGCACGACGACUGUUAGUACAGACAACAAAAACAAAUUAAAACACACCUUCCUACUACCCUUCUACCCUAACAUGUGUUCUCCACACCUUCCCAUCUAGGGCAUGUCCUCGAUAAGCUGUAAUUGCUCUAUAUCCUGUCGAAUCACCUCCCUCCAAAAGUCCAAAAACCAAUAAUGCCCAUCCCUCCAAAAGAAAAUCCAAUAGUAAUUUGACUCAGCUAUUUCCAGAAUUAGUGUUUCUAUAGCUAUGUCCAUGUUCAUCUUGUUUGAUUCUAAUUCUCUGCUAUGUCACACAACUCUAAUUCUGAGAUAACAAACUUACUUCGUAUUGCUACCACACGCAGAUCGGAAUCAAUAAAGAAGUAUGCUACUUCGGUAAACUUGGUGGUGGCGGAGAAAGUAUUUGAGCUCUACAUCCUGAUGGAAGAAUAGUUGCUCUAUCAGUAGAGGUAUGUUUGACUACUGGAAAUACUUCUUCUUUGCUCCAUUGGGUCUUUGAUGUGAGGGAACUUACUAGUAGUUUCAAUGCUUCUUUCAUCCACCUGUUAGGGCAAAGUUUUCUUGUUUUGCACAUAUUCAUCUGAAAUUGAAUUUUGGACAAGCUGCUUAUCAGCAAAUGGAAAUGUGAUUAUGUUUUAAAAGAAUGAAUUAUCGCGUACCCAAGUUCUUUCAUGAAUCUCUUUCUCAUGCCAAGAGUCUAUUUCAUCUGUUGUAUUCUCAAAGUAGCAUCUUCGCUUCUCAGUUUGCU
rnacentral:lncRNA from 1 species